AUACGGAGGUGGCGAGCGUUACUCGGAAUUAUUGGGUGUAAAGGGUAAGUAGGCGGCUUGUUAAGUCAGAUGUGAAAGCCCCGGGCUUAACCUGGGACGUGCAUUUGAAACUGUCAGACUUGAGUAUUGGAGGGGUGGUGGAAUUCCCGGUGUAGAGGUGAAAUUCGUAGAUAUCGGGAGGAAUACCGGUGGCGAAGGCGACUUUCUGGACGAAUACUGACGCUGAUGCGCGAAAGCGUGGGGAGC
rnacentral:rRNA from 1 species